ACUCGCUUCGGCGGUACAUAUACUAAAAUUGGAACGAUACAGAGAAGAUUAGCAUGGCCCCUGCGCAGCGACAUGACAGUGCGAAAGAUAUUGGUUUUGUUU
rnacentral:snRNA from 1 species